rnacentral:rRNA from 1 species
UACGUAGGGUGCGAGCGUUGUCCGGAAUUACUGGGCGUAAAGAGCUCGUAGGUGGUUUGUCGCGUUGUCCGUGAAAACUCACAGCUCAACUGUGGGCGUGCGGGCGAUACGGGCAGACUGGAGUACUGCAGGGGAGACUGGAAUUCCUGGUGUAGCGGUGGAAUGCGCAGAUAUCAGGAGGAACACCGGUGGCGAAGGCAGGUCACUGGGCCGCAACUGACGCUGAGGAGCGAAAGCAUGGGGAGCGAACAGG